GUAGUUAACAUGGAGAGAACUUUUUUUUGUUACCACAGCAUUAAAAUGUGGUAAUUGUAAGUUCAGACACGAUUCAUUUGUACUAUUUGCUUAAGUUUUGAUUUGUGAAUAACAUUAAUUCUUCCUCGGAUGUAUCUAACAACUUCAUCUACAAAAAAGUUGGUAUUUCAUAGUUUGUAUCUUCUAACCUGUCCUACAAUAUUUUAUGAUGUUUUUCCCUCUUCCUCGGAUGCGUCUUUUUCAAACAAAUAAGUAGCUCUGAUUAUAAAAAAAAAUGAGGAGCUUUCAAGAUUAUGGAUGCAAACUACACUUGGCCUACCAUGACCUUGGACCAUAUAUAAUCUUUUCUAAAUCCUUUUGUUUAAGCUUGUGGUGCAUUUUCUCUUCUGAAUUCCAAUUCUGUUUAUAUUCAAAAUUUAUCCUUUUGAUCAUCAACUCACUAGAACUUUUUCCAAGCUUUCUAAACAUCAGUUCUGUGGCAGAGAAGAGAAAAGGUAAAGGUUAUUAUUCAUAUUCCUUUUUCUUUUGAUUCGUGUUUCCUUCCCUUGAAUGAGCUUCUCCGUUAUUCUGCUAUGUAUUAUGUGAAUAUAGUUUCACUGAUUCAAAUUUCAAGUCUGCCAUGUGUUUGAGCUUAUUUGAUUUCUUUUCUACAAAGAUUUAUCUGAUUCAUGUCACCAUUAUAUGGGAUAUGGAUCCUUAGCCAUUAGGGAUUGAAUUAAUAGUUAAGGGGUGCUGCAUUUAUGGCUUCAACCAAACAAAAUCAAUGUUAACAGUGUAAUCAAUGUUAACCGUGUUUUGGAGAAGACUGAAGGCACUGAGAUUUGACACUUUGCAGUCAUUAUCCAAUAAAAUCUUCAUUCACUCACUUUGUUUUGUCUAUUUUUUGUGGGGAGGGAAAAGGACCUUCUCCUAUUGUAUUAAGUUAGCAGACAAGAACCAUUCAAAAGAGGAAAGAGUUUCAAAUUAGAAAAGAAAUAUGCAUAUUCACUGAUUUUGAAGAAUGUCUGGCAGGAACUUAGUUUCUAUGAAAAGAAUAAGUAAUCUGUGAACUAAGUGGAUGAAUGUGAUCAUCUCAUUGAAUGUAGAGGAUUGUCUUUGUCUCUGCAAUGAGAGCAAGAUAUAAGUGAUAGUAAGUUCCUAGUUCUUUGUUAACCAAUACCAUCUACUCAUUUUUCUAAUCUAAUUUCAAUAUGUAUGGUUCUGUGCUCACCAAUGAGAUUCUAUUAAUUGGUGGCAAAGGUUUAUGUAAAAUUUUAUUGAAUCUUAUCUGCUGUAACUUUUCAUUAAUUAGUGCAUAAGAAGUCUAACAUAUAUAUCUUUUUGAGGUCUAGUAUGGAAAACAACAUAAACAGUGAAAUCGUAGAACAAGGCUCCAGAAGUUUCAUCACUUAUCAAGUAUAUAUCAUCAAGUGAAAUCCCUAACUUUGAAUAGGGAUAAUUUCAGUUUCCCAGCCCAUCAUCCAAACUGUUUAGUGUUUUAUGUAUUCUGUCAGGGAUAAUUUAUUAUCCCUGUGUUUUCUGUUUUCACCGGAACCUAUUUAAAUAGGAUUCCAGCUUUUUCCAUUGUGAGAAUAGAAGAAGAGUAGUAGUAACAAUUCGAUCGAUAAUAAUAAAAGGCGUUUUGGAUUUCUCUUACCUUUUGGUGCGGUGCUUUAUCUUCUUGGACUCCGUCAUUCCUUUCUGAACAAAAGGUGCCUUGCCGGAGCAACGCCUGGAGAACAUGCGUCCCUCUUUCUCUCUCGCGUGUUGCAACAGGGAAGUGAAGCCGACACAAAAAAUUUAUUUUAUAAAGAAAAAGGCACAUGGCAUGCCAUUUGCCACUUAAUAUAAAAUUUAACACCAUUGAUUAAAUAAAAACUAAAAUCAACACUUUUAAAAAUACAGAAAUCCAAAUUGUAUAAAAUUUUAACCAAGAAUUAUUUUAAUUUUACUUAAUACUUCAUGAGAAAAAAAAACCUAUUUUUCACUAUAUAUAUUGAGAUCCCUUAAGCAUCUUAGUAAUUGCUCUGAUAGAUAAGUUUUGUCUUUUACAAUUAUGAUUGGAGUCUUCAAAGAGUAAUUUAGGAAUAAAAUGGUAUUUUCUUCUUCAUUAUUGUUAUUAAUACUAUUAUUAUAAUAUAUAAUAGAUGCUCUUUAUACUUUUUAUAACAUUUAUUCUUUCAUCGUAAAAGAAGAUUGUUCCUCGUUAGAGACAAUAACAAUGCAUCUGAUAUAAUACUUGAUACUCUUCUAUUGAUGAGAAAAUUAUUAAAAACUAUACACAUUAAAUGUUGGAUCGAUUAAAUAUUUUCGUUUCUUUUUAUAAAAUAAAUCAAGAGUAUAACUUUUGUUUAAAUAAAUGUUAGUGUUAUUAAUAUAUUUUAUUUGUUAAAGUUAUCUAUUUCAUGUUUUGGUGUCUGCCUUGGAGUUAGCAGCCAAGCAAUUCUUUGGAAAGCACUUGCCACAUCCCACUCAAUUUCUUCACAUAAGCCUCAAAGUCAACUUAGUCUUAUGGAUCAUAUCCAUUGUUCUUGUUACCAUAAUUUUCGCCACCUAUCUUCUCAAAAUAAUUCUCUACUUUGAAGCAUGGGUAGCCCUCUUGUUAUUAGCUCUUGGGGUUCCUCCAUCAGUGACCAAAAACUUGCACCAUGCCCUUUGGUACAUUCUAAUGAUACCAAUAUUUUUUCUUUAAAUUAAGAUCUAUGAUCUAUGGACAGUGGAUAUUAGGAUAUACAUUUUGGUGAGAUAAUGUUUGGAUGGAGACAUCUGGUAUUUCAGGUCUGUUUAUAUUUGAUUUGAGAUUUGUUAGCACCAUAAGUUGGUAUAAAUCUAAUAGAGAACUUGGUAUGAGUCAAUGUGAUGGUUUUAAGUUCAAAUAAGGAGGUUUUAGAUGGUUAGAGUUUCCUUAUAUGUACUGUUUUUCCCAUUUCCCUUUAAACCCUAAAUUCUAUAAAUAGAGUUCCCACACACAUACAGUUUGCGACAUUUUCAUAAAUAUAGAAUAAAAGUUUUCUCUUUCACUUACCUCUGUUGGGUGUACUCCUUUUUCACUUCUCUUUCGGUGCUACUUGCAUUUUCUUCAUCCAGCGUUGAUCUCCUUUCGAACGUCCUGGAGAAGCCACAUGGAGAGGUGGAGCUCUCUUUCUUUCUUCCCUCGAGCCACGCAUCUCUGACUUCACUGGAACUCUCUGGAAAGGAGAGAUAUUUCCUUUCGACUUGGGUCAAAAGGCUUGGGCCUCCCUGCUUCUCCAAGUUCGGCCCAUUUUAUUA
rnacentral:lncRNA from 1 species